UGUUGUUCUUCAUCUCCUAGGAUAAUGACUUUGCUAUUCUGCUUCUAAAAAUACCAAAUUGACCAUUCAUGUUAGCGUAGCAAUGUUGAAAGUCAAGGUAUCUCCUUUAUUCUUUGAUUUUGCUUUUGUUGACAAAGGGUUCCAUGAUGUCUAUAAAGUCUAUUUUGUUGAUGUCACACACGUUCUUCAAUCUAGGUAAGGCCUUCUUAGACCUCACUCCCCUUAUAUUCCAUAAGAUUGUACUAACCGUGAAAUUUCAUAGGGAAAAAUCAACUUUGACUCCUUCCGCUCGAGGAAGGUUGUAUUUUAUCUUAGUUCUUUCUAGUAUUUCUGUUUCUACUUCUUCAUCUUUUAAUAGGAGAGAUCCCAUAUUUUUUAGAUACUUGAUUUAAUCGAGUUUCUACAGGGUCUUCUGGUUAUAUGUUGAGGAAUUCUGCGAUGGUAGGUGAAGUGGAUUCACUGCUGUCCAACAAUUAACCAGAGAAUGCCCUAGCUUUCUGGAGUUUUUACAAUAUUUGGGGACAUUAUCCCAUUCAAUCUUUUGCACAUAUCCAUUCAAUGGGAUACUUUCAUCUUCUGAUCCAGCAUAGACAGACGUAUGGAGAGGUUUAAGAAGGUCUAUUUUGCGCUCUUACCUUGGCCAUGCUUGGUUUGGUUCUGGUUUUAGUGGCGAUAUCCAAUUCCAACGGUGUUCCUGCUGGUCCUAUAACUUAUUUGGCAUAGUGCCAAGUAUGCAUAUGAAAUGGUAGUUCGGGGAGUAAUGCCCAUACAGUUGCAAUUGGCAGAUCUUCAUCCAGUUUGAAAUUCGGAGUCCAUUUUUGUAGCCACAUUUAAGCACCAGCAAUUUCCACCACUCUCUUGAAUAUGAUAAUGUCAAAGUCUUCAUCGUUUGUGAAAUCUAGAAAUACAUUAUAGUUGUCAUACACCCCUAUCUUCAUUGUUCAUUUCAGAGCGAAUUUCUCUGAAAAUUGUCCCCUAGUUUUAUCAUUGUGGGGCCUAAUUUUCAGAAAUUUUCCAACCAGGGUUCUUUUAUACUCUUCAGCCAUCACCCCAUAGUA